UAGGUGACCUGCGGAGGGAUCAUUACACAAUAAAAUAUGAAGGCUGUACGCGGCUGUGCUCUCGGGCCAGUUUUGCGGAGGCUGAAUUAUUUAUUACCCUUGUCUUUUGCGCACUUGUUGUUUCCUGGGCGGGUUCGCCCGCCACCAGGACCACAUUAAACCUUUUUUAUGCAGUUGCAAUCAGCGUCAGUAUAACAAAUGUAAAUCAUUUACAACUUUCAACAACGGAUCUCUUGGUUCUGGCAUCGAUGAAGAACGCAGCGAAAUGCGAUACGUAGUGUGAAUUGCAGAAUUCAGUGAAUCAUCGAAUCUUUGAACGCACAUUGCGCCCUUUGGUAUUCCAAAGGGCAUGCCUGUUCGAGCGUCAUUUGUACCCUCAAGCUUUGCUUGGUGUUGGGCGUUUUUUGUCUUUGGUUGCCAAAGACUCGCCUUAAAAGGAUUGGCAGCCGGCCUACUGGUCGCAGCGCAGCACAUUUUUGCGCUUGCAAUCAGCAAAAGAGGACGGCAAUCCAUCAAGACUCCUUCUCACGUUUGACCUCGGAUCAGGUAGGGAUACCCGCUGAACUUAAGCAUAUCAAUA
rnacentral:rRNA from 1 species